GAUGAACGCUGGCGGCGUGCCUAACACAUGCAAGUCGAGCGGCAGCGCGGGGUGCUUGCACCCUGUCGGCGAGCGGCGGACGGCUGAGUAACGCGUGGGAACGUGCCCCAAAGUGAGGAAUAACUGCCCGAAAGGGUAGCUAAUACCGCAUAUUAUCUUCGGAUCAAAGGAUUUAUCCGCUUUGGGAGCGGCUCGCGUCGGAUUAGGUAGUUGGUGAGGUAAUGGCUCACCAAGCCGACGAUCCGUAGCUGGUCUGAGAGGAUGACCAGCCAGACUGGAACUGAGACACGGUCCCGAAUCCUACGGGGGGCAGCAGUGAGGAAUCUUCCAAAAUGGGCGAAAGCCUGAUGGAGCAACGCCGCGUGCAGGACGAAGGCCUUCGGGUUGUAAACUGCUUUUAUAAGUGAGGAAUAUGACGGUAACUUAUGAAUAAGGAUCGGCUAACUACGUG
rnacentral:rRNA from 1 species